rnacentral:lncRNA from 1 species
UUGAAUCUUAUGACAUCGAUAUUAAGGAGCAAAAAGUGACAGUGAAGGGAAAUGUGGAGCCAGAAGCUGUUUUCCAAACUGUUUCUAAGACUGGAAAGAAGACUUCUUUUUGGGAAGCAGCAGCACCAGCACCAGAAGCAGCACCAGCACCAGCACCAUCACCAGAAGCCGCACCAGCACCAGCUGAACCUGAAGUAAAGCCUGCUGAAGUAAAGCCUGUGGAUACACCAGCUGAACCCGAAGCAAAGCCCGCAGAUGAAAAAACUACCGAAGCUGUUGCUGCAGCCUGAUGAUACUAAAAUAUAUAUCACGCUUAUGAUUUAUGCAACUUUAAUAUGUAACAGUUAAUCAGAGCUUAAAUGAUGUGUUGCUAAUUUUUGCGUUUGGUUUUUCUUGUAAUAAUAUAGAUAAAAAGUCCUGUUAUCUACUGAAAGGGAACUACGUCCAGUACACAGGAAUGUAUUGUUUAAUUAGUCUAGUGGAGUUGCAGACAUAUUAUUUUUACAGAGUGAUUUCACUAAUCAAAUGGAGAUUACGGAGCCUAUUAUAUGGUUCAGGCCCUGAGUUUAGGUUUUGUUGACUUACAGGAUAAAAAUAUUUACGUAUAUCGCAGAGAUUGGUUUUAUGGUAUAUUACAAAUGUUUUUUCAGUUAUAUGCCCCUUUACAUAUUGUUGUAGGCAGAGGCGGAGCCAAGAUUUCAAGCUUGUGAGUUUGGAAUUUUAAUUAUUUUAAGUUUUUGGGUUCUAAAUUAAUAAUUUAUACAUAUUGAAUGAAUUUCUUAAAACAAAUACAUGGUUCGAACCAAAGUUACUGGAUUCAACCGAAUCAACACUCAGUUCUGUAGCCCCCCCCGCCGGUUGUAGGGUCAUUCUCUUCUAUUUAAAUGUAAUUGGUCACUGAAGAUCAUUUUCUUCCUACCAUCAUAUAUUAAACUACAGGGAUCUAUUGUCUAAAAUAUCUUUACACUCUCAUUAUAUAUAAUUUAAUUUCAAACCCUACCAUAUAUCUGUAUUGGUCUAAAUUUGACGACUUUUUUAUGGCAGAUACAUGAUGGAAGACUGGAUCGACCAUGGUCUAAUAGCGGAAAGUCCUUUUCAAAGGGAGCGUAGUCGAGGACAAGCAACUAGUGUAUAGAAGUAACGGUAGGAUAGAUUUAGGAAUGAAUACAAGGAGUGUUCCUUUGGAUAUUUCCUAUUUUGCAUUCAUUAGGGUUUCUUGGAAAUACCUCAUAUAAAUAGGAAGGGAUAGGGAAUAAGGGGAAAUCUCCACUUUCUGAAAAAAGACAUUAUAAAAGGUUGACUUGAGAGAAUAUACAAAAGCUGUCUUGUUCAUUGAUUAUCUUAUCCAAGCACACGUUACUUGAUAUUUGUUCACAAGAUUCAAAGAUUCUAUAACCAUCUUCACUUAGGUAAAGAACUAUCCAAGUCAUAUAAUAAUUGGAUGGUAGAUUCUUUCCUAUUGCCUUUAUUGCCAUUAUCUACCUUUAUUGCAUAUUUAUGUUAUCAUAUUUAUUAGCAUUCAUUGAACACAAACGUGCUAUUUAACGCUGUCAAAAGUUGUUCAUGUUACCGAUUUCUCCCAAUUUUUGGUCUAGAAUUUAUUACUUUUAACUAAGAGUCAUCCUUCAUCUCAUCAUAAUUGGUUUAAUUAAAAGGCUCAAUACUUUUUGGUCAAAUAAUUUAGCGCCAUCUGUGUUGAGUAUUUUAUUUAAAUGUUUUAGAUUCUUCUUGUUCAUAAAUGACAACCAUAUUUUUCUCGUCUGCAAAAACUAACAAUGGUAGGGAAAGGAUAUGAAAGACAGAAAGCAAUAGUGGGUGUCGCUACCAACAUCUUAAACACCAUCAACGAGGAUGGCAGAGAAGACGACGAGAAUGUGACGCUGGGUGUUACACCCAAGCGGAGUGACUCACCUUCCCCUCAUAGAAGUGUAACCGCUUCAUGAGAAAAAAGACCGCAAUUUGAUGGUCCCAGAAGGUCCGUAGAAAAAUAUAGGAAACAGAAUGG